GUAGGUGGCAAGCGUUGUCCGGGAAUUAUUGGGGCGUAAAGCGCGCGCAGGCGGUUCCUUAAGGUCUGAUGUGAAAGCCCACGGGCUCAACCGUGGAGGGUCAUUGGAAACUGGAGAACUUGAGUACAGAAGAGGAAAGCGGAAUUCCACGUGUAGCGGUGAAAUGCGUAGAGAUGUGGAGGAACACCAGUGGCGAAGGCGGCUUUCUGUCUGUAACUGACGCUGAGGCGCGAAAGCGUGGGGAGCAAACAGGAUUAGAUACCCUGGUAGUCCACGCCGUAAACGAUGAGUGCUAAGUGUUAGGGGGUUUCCGCCCCUUAGUGCUGCAGCUAACGCAUUAAGCACUCCGCCUGGGGAGUACGGCCGCAAAGGCUG
rnacentral:rRNA from 1 species